rnacentral:rRNA from 1 species
AAAUUGAAGAGUUUGAUCAUGGCUCAGAUUGAACGCUGGCGGCAGGCCUAACACAUGCAAGUCGAACGGUAACAGGAAGCAGCUUGCUGCUUCGCUGACGAGUGGCGGACGGGUGAGUAAUGUCUGGGAAACUGCCUGAUGGAGGGGGAUAACUACUGGAAACGGUAGCUAAUACCGCAUAAUGUCGCAAGACCAAAGAGGGGGACCUUCGGGCCUCUUGCCAUCGGAUGUGCCCAGAUGGGAUUAGCUUGUUGGUGGGGUAACGGCUCACCAAGGCGACGAUCCCUAGCUGGUCUGAGAGGAUGACCAGCCACACUGGAACUGAGACACGGUCCAGACUCCUACGGGAGGCAGCAGUGGGGAAUAUUGCACAAUGGGCGCAAGCCUGAUGCAGCCAUGCCGCGUGUAUGAAGAAGGCCUUCGGGUUGUAAAGUACUUUCAGCGGGGAGGAAGGGAGUAAAGUUAAUACCUUUGCUCAUUGACGUUAUCCGCAGAAGAAGCACCGGCUAACUCCGUGCCAGCAGCCGCGGUAAUACGGAGGGUGCAAGCGUUAAUCGGAAUUACUGGGCGUAAAGCGCACGAAGGCGGUUUGUUAAGUCAGAUGUGAAAUCCCCGGGCUCAACCUGGGAACUGCAUCUGAUACUGGCAAGCUUGAGUCUCGUAGAGGGGGGUAGAAUUCCAGGUGUAGCGGUGAAAUGCGUAGAGAUCUGGAGGAAUACCGGUGGCGAAGGCGGCCCCCUGGACGAAGACUGACGCUCAGGUGCGAAAGCGUGGGGAGCAAACAGGAUUAGAUACCCUGGUAGUCCACGCCGUAAACGAUGUCGACUUGGAGGUUGUGCCCUUGAGGCGUGGCUUCCGGAGCUAACGCGUUAAGUCGACCGCCUGGGGAGUACGGCCGCAAGGUUAAAACUCAAAUGAAUUGACGGGGGCCCGCACAAGCGGUGGAGCAUGUGGUUUAAUUCGAUGCAACGCGAAGAACCUUACCUGGUCUUGACAUCCACGGAAGUUUUCAGAGAUGAGAAUGUGCCUUCGGGAACCGUGAGACAGGUGCUGCAUGGCUGUCGUCAGCUCGUGUUGUGAAAUGUUGGGUUAAGUCCCGCAACGAGCGCAACCCUUAUCCUUUGUUGCCAGCGGUCCGGCCGGGAACUCAAAGGAGACUGCCAGUGAUAAACUGGAGGAAGGUGGGGACGACGUCAAGUCAUCAUGGCCCUUACGACCAGGGCUACACACGUGCUACAAUGGCGCAUACAAAGAGAAGCGACCUCGCGAGAGCAAGCGGACCUCAUAAAGUGCGUCGUAGUCCGGAUUGGAGUCUGCAACUCGACUCCAUGAAGUCGGAAUCGCUAGUAAUCGUGGAUCAGAAUGCCACGGUGAAUACGUUCCCGGGCCUUGUACACACCGCCCGUCACACCAUGGGAGUGGGUUGCAAAAGAAGUAGGUAGCUUAACCUUCGGGAGGGCGCUUACCACUUUGUGAUUCAUGACUGGGGUGAAGUCGUAACAAGGUAACCGUAGGGGAACCUGCGGUUGGAUCACCUCCUUACCUUAAAGAAGC